UUCAGAAGUGGAUAAUUACAGAUGUAAUAUUUUGACAAAUUCUAACAAUUUUACACGGAUUCCUCGUUUGCUGUUCGCAGAAUUAUAUUCUCAUCAAUUUUACCAAACAUUUUACUUGAAAGAAAAACACCGACUACGUGAAAGGAAAAGAAAAGAAUGAAAUAGGUUUACAACAAAAUCACACAAAAACGUUUACUGCGUUGAGACAUGAAUCAGUUCGGAUCUGCUGUUUACAUGUGAAGAAUAGCGCCAACAGCACCACCACCACCACCACCAACAACAACAACAAUUUCUUCUAAUUGAUUUAAAAAGAGGAAGCCGUAAAACUGCAAAACACAUCUAUAUACACAGACAAGUCAUCCGGACUGUUUUAAAAAAGAAAAACUGUGAAAUCUUUCAUAAAUACAAACAUACAUAAAUAGCGUUUCUUUUUCCUUUUUUUAAUACACACACACACACACACACACACACACACACAUAUAUAUAUAUUUGAAUAUUUUGCUUCUGAAUUUCAAAUAAACAUGGAAUUAUUCUCGCUUUGGACUCAAUUACUCUUACUUUUGAUGAGUUCUACCUUUCUCGUAAACGCGGAGUGCGUUGAUGGAUGGUUGCAUCUUAGAACCGGCAGUUAUAUGUUUGUAUGUGACAGGGAAGUUUACAGUGAUGCCCUGGCCGUAUGCAACGAAAACGGAGGCUCCUUGGUAUCCGUCAAUAAUUUAAAAGAAGCAAUUUGAACAUGACCUGGAAUAGAGAAGGCAUGUCGUUGAAGAGGUCGCGAGUAGCGACUAAAGGAUUUUAACAAACAUAACU